rnacentral:rRNA from 1 species
AGUGCUUACUGCAUUUUUUCUUACACAUGUGUUUUUCUUUUUUUGAAAACUUUGCUUUGGUAGGCCUUCUAUAUGGGGCCUGCCAGAGAUUAAACUCAACCAAAUUUUAUUUAAUGUCAACCGAUUAUUUAAUAGUCAAAACUUUCAACAACGGAUCUCUUGGUUCUCGCAUCGAUGAAGAACGCAGCGAAAUGCGAUAAGUAAUAUGAAUUGCAGAUAUUCGUGAAUCAUCGAAUCUUUGAACGCACAUUGCGCCCUUUGGUAUUCCAAAGGGCAUGCCUGUUUGAGCGUCAUUUCUCCCUCAAACCCUCGGGUUUGGUGUUGAGCGAUACGCUGGGUUUGCUUGAAAGAAAGGCGGAGUAUAAACUAAUGGAUAGGUUUUUUCCACUCAUUGGUACAAACUCCAAAACUUCUUCCAAAUUCGACCUCAAAUCAGGUAGGACUACCCGCUGAACUUAAGCAUAUCAAUAAGCGGAGGGAAAAAGAAA